rnacentral:rRNA from 1 species
GAUGAACGCUGGCGGCGUGCCUAAUACAUGCAAGUCGAGCGAACAGACGAGGAGCUUGCUCCUCUGACGUUAGCGGCGGACGGGUGAGUAACACGUGGAUAACCUACCUAUAAGACUGGGAUAACUUCGGGAAACCGGAGCUAAUACCGGAUAAUAUAUUGAACCGCAUGGUUCAAUAGUGAAAGACGGUUUUGCUGUCACUUAUAGAUGGAUCCGCGCCGCAUUAGCUAGUUGGUAAGGUAACGGCUUACCAAGGCAACGAUGCGUAGCCGACCUGAGAGGGUGAUCGGCCACACUGGAACUGAGACGCGGUCCAGACUCCUACGGGAGGCAGCAGUAGGGAAUCUUCCGCAAUGGGCGAAAGCCUGACGGAGCAACGCCGCGUGAGUGAUGAAGGUCUUCGGAUCGUAAAACUCUGAUAUUAGGGAAGAACAAAUGUGUAAGUAACUAUGCACGUCCUGACGGUACCUAAUCAGAAAGCCACGGCUAACUACGUG